UACGUAGGGGGCAAGCGUUGUCCGGAUUUAUUGGGCGUAAAGAGCGUGUAGGCGGUUAGGUAGGUCCGUUGUGAAAACUCGAGGCUCAACCUCGAGACGCCGAUGGAAACCAUCUGACUAGAGUCCGGAAGAGGAGAGUGGAAUUCCUGGUGUAGCGGUGAAAUGCGUAGAUAUCGGGAGGAACACCUGUGGCGAAAGCGGCGCACUGGACCAUAACUGACGCUGAUGCGCGAAAGCUAGGGGAGCAAACAGG
rnacentral:rRNA from 1 species